ACUGAGACAUCUUUCUGGCACUGCUAGUGUGGUGAGCGCUGGUUGCUGAGGGUUUUGGUCCCAAUUGCUGUCAGUAGUGAUCCAGCCAUUCCCCAGUCCAGUGCGGCCGGGGUUCCCCGCCUCCAUUGAAGAACGGAGCCAUGGAAGACAAACCACUGGUAGUAUCUAAACAGAAGACAGAGGUGGUAUGCGGUGUGCCCACCCAGGUGGUCUGCACGGCCUUCAGCAGCCACAUCCUGGUUGUGGUGACCCAAUUCGGGAAGAUGGGUACGUUAGUCUCCUUGGAGCCCAGCAAUGUAGCCAAUGACAUCAGCAAACCAGUGCUCACCACAAAAGUCCUUCUCGGGCAGGACGAGCCUCUCAUCCAUGUCUUUGCAAAGAACCUGGUAGCAUUC
rnacentral:lncRNA from 1 species